AGUUAAACUACUUGCUGCCAGACUACAGAUUCCUCAUGAAGAGAGGCUUCUGACAACAGAAUCCUCAUGACCUGAGACCUGCAUGCUGAAGAAGAACAAGAAGGUUUCUGACAUGAGAAGCCUCAUGACCUGCCUCUCCCUCCUGGACUUGCUCUGUGCUCUACCUGCUUGCUGCCUAAGGCCAGCCUCUCUGCUGCUGCUUUCUCCCCUGAGGUGUCUGCCAUCGGAUCCCUCACUACGACAGGCCUGCAUGCUGACGGACUCUCCAGGGCCUGCCACCGGAGACCUGCUGCUUCCUCCCGGAUUUCUUCCAGGACCUACUCGGUACCUGCACAUUCCCUCUGCCCAAGACUGGCCAUGCUGCUGCUGCUCUUCCCCUACGCUUUUGCCCCGGCCCAUUGGAACGUCGUGCAACGGGACUGCUGCCGGAUCCUGGUGGUGACUAUCCCUGCUUUACGCAGUUCUUGCCUCUUUCUAUCUUUCCUAUCGCCUGCCUUCCCUUCCCCAACAUCCUAAAUCGUCCGUCCUCCCCUUCCCCAUCUCCCUUAUUAAGAUUUGUAAUAAACUGGUCAGACCAACAUCUGGACCGUUGUUUUUUAAUCUCACACCAAGUAUACCUAUUUCAAAGAACCUCCUCUCCCUCCUACAAAUUGGAGCGAGACACUAGUUCUCAGAGAAAUAUCUACUAGACCUUCAUAAUAUCCAGUGUCCUUAGUAAAAAUCUGACCCUGAAGAACUGGCUUAUCAGGCAAAGCCUCCAAAGCUUUACUCAGUAGUCUUAAACUUGGGAAACAUCAGUAUCUGCCCAGCACUACAACGGAUUGAAAUAAAAGCAAACAAUGUGAAAGCAUAGUUUUGCAGAGCUAAGAAUUAAGUAGUAUCAUCCAUUGUUUUCAACCAAAAUUCAGCACUUAUUUUUUUAAAUUUGUCUUUAUUUGCACAGCAGAGAAAACAGCAACAUUAAGGAAAAUGCAGAACUUAGAACCUCCUGUUUUAACAGUUGUAUAUAAUGGAAUCCAAUUACAAAAUUUACAAUGCCAAAUAUCUGAAUUCAUGCAAUUGUUAGCAAAUAUGGAUAUUAAACUAACUUCUGCACAGCAUUAACAACUUAGCACAACAGCCUUGAUUUUAUUAUGUUGGCCCACAGCGUCAGAGGCAGGUUGUGGUGGUGUUAUGGCAGUAGAGGUUGAACCUUCUUACCAAAAUCCUGUUACAUUCUGUGGUUGUGUGACAAAUGGCAGCAGAGGGGCAGUCCAACAAAAUGGCAUCUGACAUGGAAGUGUGUAUGGAGCAAAGGUGUGACACUGAAUUCCUCCAUCUGAAAAAUGACAUCCAUUGACACUCACUGACACUUGUUGAGCAUUUAUGGAGACCAAACAGUGGAUGCGAGCACAGUAAGGCAGUGGGUGGUGUGCUUCAGCAGUGCUGACAGUGUCACCUCCAUAGGCGCAGACUUUUACAAGCACAGCAUGAUGGCUCUUGUUCAUUGCUGGCAAAAUUGCAUAGCUCGUAAUGGCGACUCUGCUGAAAAGCAGUGUUUUGUAGCUCAGAUUUUCCUCUAUUAAAUAGCAUUACUGUUCUCUUUGUAUCUGUUGGAGUUUCCAUGGAAACAAAUAGGAAGCAUUACUUUUGGAGCAACAUGUGUGUACAUUUGUUUGCAUAGCUACUAUGUAUUUCGAUGUCAAUGCCUGUGGCAUACUCACUGCUUUUCAUAUAUAGUUCACUGCAGAUUGUGUGAUAUGUAUACAAGUAUAUAAAACCUUAUUGUAAUAAAGAAAUACGUCGCCUUAUUUCUCAAAUAAAAAGCACCAGAGAAAAGUACAUACAGGCAUAACACAAAAAUUAUUAAAUCUGGUUCAAAACCGGUCAUCAGAACUAGGCUGUCACACAAUGAGAAAAAUAUAAGGCAUUUGUCUAACUAAAAACAAACAACAAUAAAAAAGCAACGCAUUGAUUUCACCUUCAGUAUUUAUUUGCUAAACUUUUGGAUCAUGUUUUUAAUGCAGUAGAUACUUACAUGGACACCUGCCAACCUAUAGCAACAGAUUUGUGUACACCUGAUUUAAGUUCUUUGCAGUAUUAUUAAUAUCUUGUAUUGUUUUCUUGAGGAAAGCUGCUUUUUGCCUCAUACAUAGAAUUUAUUUUAGACCUAAGCCUCUGGUUUGGCAUUGGUCCCAGAAUAUCCUGGUUGCUAAACAAACUGCAAAGUAUAUCAUAUGGAUAUCACGAUGAAAAAACUGCAGUCUUCACUGUGUAUUCUGCAUCAUGUUAAUCCCUUCGUAGCUCUGUUCAUUUCAUCACAGUUACAUUUCUUAUUUUAAUUUACUUACCAUGUUAGGUCUCAGCACAAAAGGUGAAAAUGGCAUAUUAAUAAUGAAAUGCAAGUUUCAUUAUUUUAGACCUGGUCCUAACACUAGGAACAUAAAAAGUGAUAUGUUAUGGCUGUUUUUGACACUGAAAAAUGCUUCAAGAUAGUUGACUUGUUUCCCAGUAAAGA
ensembl:lncRNA